rnacentral:misc_RNA from 1 species
CUUCGUUGAUGGAAAUCGGUAGUUUUAAUGGUCACGUUUCGCCUUAUGUUGCUCCUUGUUGGGUGAUGUUAGGUGAACCAUGAAGCAAUCCUUGUGUCCCAYUCCACUUGCACUUCAUUGUGGUUGUGGCUUGGUGCUUAGGGAAUUCGCUUGGGCUGUUGGAUGCGGUGCAUUAUAUUUGGGCAUGAGGUAUUUUAUCCUCUUUUUGCCCAAACAAAAGCUUUCAUUGCUUCCGAGCGAACGAUUGCAAUCAUUGUUUCGAGCCCUUUGGCAAGUGCGGUGAUUGCUUCGUUGAGG